rnacentral:rRNA from 1 species
CCUACGGGAGGCAGCAGUGAGGAAUAUUGGUCAAUGGGCGCGAGCCUGAACCAGCCAAGUCGCGUGAGGGAAGACGGCCCUACGGGUUGUAAACCUCUUUUGCCGGGGAGCAACGGGCGCCACGUGUGGCGCCACUGAGAGUACCCGGAGAAAAAGCAGCGGCCAACUCCGUGCCAGCAGCCGCGGUAAUACGGAGGAUGCGAGCGUUAUCCGGAUUUCUUGGGUUGAAAGGGGGCGGAGGCGGAGCGUUAAGUCAGUGGUCAAAUUGAGGGGCUCAACCCCUUCCCGCCAUUGAAACUGGCGCUCUUGAGUGGACGAGACGUCUGCGGAAUGCGUGUUGUAGCGGUGA